rnacentral:rRNA from 1 species
GACGAACCGUGCAAACGUUGUUCGGAAUCACUGGGCUUAAAGGGCGCGUAGGCGGCAGACCAAGUCCGGGGUGAAAUCUUUCGGCUUAACCGGAAAAGGGCCUUGGAUACUGGUUUGCUAGAGGGAGGUAGGGGUCUGUGGAACUUCUGGUGGAGCGGUGAAAUGCGUUGAUAUCAGAAGGAACGCCGGUGGCGAAAGCGACGGACUGGAUCUCUUCUGACGCUGAGGCGCGAAAGCCAGGGGAGCAAACGGG